CCUGCCCCUAAAGGUGCUGCAGGUGUGGUUGCUGUGUCACAUGUGUGUCAGUAGGUGACAGAGAGGGGAGAGGCCAUGUCUAUAUUCAGUGUUCUGACCUAUGAACAUCUGAAUGAUUGGCACCCUAACAUU